UCCUACGGGAGGCAGCAGUGGGGAAUAUUGGACAAUGGACCACAAGUCUGAUCCAGCAAUUCUGUGUGCACGAUGACGUUUUUCGGAAUGUAAAGUGCUUUCAGUCGGGAAGAAGUCAGUGACGGUACCGACAGAAGAAGCGACGGCUAAAUACGUGCCAGCAGCCGCGGUAAUACGUAUGUCGCAAGCGUUAUCCGGAUUUAUUGGGCGUAAAGCGCGUCUAGGCGGCAAGGAAAGUCUGAUGUGAAAAUGCGGAGCUCAACUCCGUAUGGCGUUGGAAACUGCCUUACUAGAGUACUGGGGAGGUAGGCGGAACUACAAGUGUAGAGGUGAAAUUCGUAGAUAUUUGUAGGAAUGCCGAUGGGGAAGCCAGCCUACUGGACAGAUACUGACGCUAAAGCGCGAAAGCGUGGGUAGCAAACAGGAUUAGAUACCCUGGUAGUCC
rnacentral:rRNA from 1 species